rnacentral:rRNA from 1 species
ACAACGCCGAAGAUGUUUUGGCGGAUUGAGAAGACAACAAUUUUCAGCUCAGAUUCAGAGUCCGAAGGAUUUUACGCUGAGACAAGGCGGCAAACGCAGCGACGGAAGGAGCAUACAGAAGUAUGUGACUGACGCUCGCAAGAGCAGCCAACGCCGUAUCAGUGUAAAAGACACAGGACGGAGCACAAAGAAUUUGCCUGGCGGCACUAGCGCGGUGGUCCCACCUGACCCCAUGCCGAACUCAGAAGUGAAACGCCGUAGCGCCGAUGGUAGUGUGGGGUCUCCCCAUGCGAGAGUAGGGAACUGCCAGGCAUCAAAUUANAAAUCGUACCCCAAACCGACACAGGUGGUCAGGUAGAGAAUACCAAGGCGCUUGAGAGAACUCGGGUGAAGGAACUAGGCAAAAUGGUGCCGUAACUUCGGGAGAAGGCACGCUGACACGUAGGUGAAGUGAUUUACUCAUGGAGCUGAAGUCAGUCGAAGAUACCAGCUGGCUGCAACUGUUUAUUAAAAACACAGCACUGUGCAAACACGAAAGUGGACGUAUACGGUGUGACGCCUGCCCGGUGCCGGAAGGUUAAUUGAUGGGGUCAGCGCAAGCGAAGCUCCUGAUCGAAGCCCCGGUAAACGGCGGCCGUAACUAUAACGGUCCUAAGGUAGCGAAAUUCCUUGUCGGGUAAGUUCCGACCUGCACGAAUGGCGUAAUGAUGGCCAGGCUGUCUCCACCCGAGACUCAGUGAAAUUGAACUCGCUGUGAAGAUGCAGUGUACCCGCGGCAAGACGGAAAGACCCCGUGAACCUUUACUAUAGCUUGACACUGAACAUUGAGCCUUGAUGUGUAGGAUAGGUGGGAGGCUUUGAAGUGUGGACGCCAGUCUGCAUGGAGCCGACCUUGAAAUACCACCCUUUAAUGUUUGAUGUUCUAACGUGGACCCGUAAUCCGGGUUGCGGACAGUGUCUGGUGGGUAGUUUGACUGGGGCGGUCUCCUCCUAAAGAGUAACGGAGGAGCACGAAGGUUGGCUAAUCCUGGUCGGACAUCAGGAGGUUAGUGCAAUGGCAUAAGCCAGCUUGACUGCGAGCGUGACGGCGCGAGCAGGUGCGAAAGCAGGUCAUAGUGAUCCGGUGGUUCUGAAUGGAAGGGCCAUCGCUCAACGGAUAAAAGGUACUCCGGGGAUAACAGGCUGAUACCGCCCAAGAGUUCAUAUCGACGGCGGUGUUUGGCACCUCGAUGUCGGCUCAUCACAUCCUGGGGCUGAAGUAGGUCCCAAGGGUAUGGCUGUUCGCCAUUUAAAGUGGUACGCGAGCUGGGUUUAGAACGUCGUGAGACAGUUCGGUCCCUAUCUGCCGUGGGCGCUGGAGAACUGAGGGGGGCUGCUCCUAGUACGAGAGGACCGGAGUGGACGCAUCACUGGUGUUCGGGUUGUCAUGCCAAUGGCACUGCCCGGUAGCUAAAUGCGGAAGAGAUAAGUGCUGAAAGCAUCUAAGCACGAAACUUGCCCCGAGAUGAGUUCUCCCUGAGACUUUAGGUCUCCUGAAGGAACGUUGAAGACGACGACGUUGAUAGGCCGGGUGUGUAAGCGCAGCGAUGCGUUGAGCUAACCGGUACUAAUGAACCGUGAGGCUUAACCUU